CAGCCAGCGUGGAGAGGGGCGAGGAGGACCCACAGGCUGAUGUCUCGCUACGGAGGGGAGUGUGUUGCAAAGGCUGAGCGGGUCCCAGCCACUCUCCGGAGGGGCAGAGCACAGGUUCCUUGCCUCACCAGCAGCUCCUUGCAAGACUUCAGCUCUGGGCUGCGCGUCCAGAACUGAGCGAGGUGCCCCGCUGCUCCGCGUUGGGUCCCAUGAGACAGGCAGGACCACCCUGUCCUUCCCACCCGGGGCCGCAGCACCCCCCUCUCCCUCCGCUGCACGGGAAGCCCCUCCAGCACCCGAAACGAAGCUGCAGAGGUCUGCU